rnacentral:lncRNA from 1 species
GGUCUUUUGGAAUGGGGACAGCAUAUAUGUAAGAUGUAGCUGCUAGAGUUUCCCGGUAUCAUGGCGGAUGUGGUUCAGACUACAAACUGCUUCUGUGUGACUAAGAGAAGAAGAAUCAGAGUAAAGAGAAACAUACUCUCUUAAUCUCCGAAGAUUAACGGCAGGAGGAGCUCUAGAAUUUCACAAAGGUGCUGUCAGGACACAUGAAAAUCUAGAGAAAAAGACCAGCUUGAAGAGACCAAAAAGAAGAAAGCCUGCCAAUCACAUCCUCCAGAGAUUCUGAGACACACACACCCCUGGUGUAGGGGGACACCAUCUGAAAGGUGACACCCAUUCUACGGAAUAUAAGUACCAGCUAAAGAGGACACACACUUGAAGAAAAAGGAGACAAUGAGGUCUUGUGAAUGCUCUAAUUUUUCAAAGCUUACUUUUAAUGAUGGUUCUUAAACGCUUUAACCUCCCUUCUAGUCCACCACCCACCAAAGGUAGUGAAAAGAAAGGUGAUUAGGAUACAGGCGAAGUGAACCUGUUCAGACAUGGUUCUUUGGUGCACAACCUAGCAGGAACAUCCAGGUCUCAGUGGAAUCAGCUCAAAUCAGCAUGAAGAAUUAGGACCAUUAGGAGUUCCAGGAGAAGCUCUCAGCUCUGCCUCUCUGGACAAAUCGAUGAUCAGGAAAGACAAAAGCGCGAGAAGCGUUGCAGAGUUAGCUGUACAAGCUAGCCUCUCUCACGGUCUGUUGAGUCCUAUUUAUACUCCCUCCAAACAUCACAUGUCCUCCAUGGGUCUUGCCUCACCGUGUGUCUUACCUCAGCACAUGAAUCUGUCUCAGCUGAUAUCGCUCUGCUAAGCGACCAAGUCGGCAGAAGAGGCAAGAAGCCACCAGCCAUCACCAGAAGGUUUUUGGUGCAUUUCUCUCUGUGGAGUGUCAACAAAUGAAGAUCAACUACACAAUGUAAGGUGGACCAAGUCAUGCGUAUUGUUAGCAAAGAAUCCAUCAUGUAUCCUUUCACAUGCUUGCUUUGCCAAAACAUCCUCUCAUUUGUGUAUGCUUCAGUGAAGUUUCUUCCCGUAUCUGCCUUAUUGAAACAUCUCUUCACUUGUCUCUGUUUCAGGAAAACACUCCUUCCUGUGUGUGCCCCAGCAAAGCACAAUUCAAUGAAACUGACUUUCUAAAGAAACCAAAAGUUGGGGCUGGAGAGAUGGCUCAGUGGUUAAGAGCACUGACUGCUCUUCAAGAUGUCCUGAGUUCAAUUCCCAGCAACCACAUGGUGGCUCACAACGAUCCAUAAUGAGAUCCAAUGCCCCCUUCUGGUGUAUCUGAAGACAGCUACAGUGUACUCACAUACAUAAAAUAAAUAAAAUCUUGAAAAAAGAAAAAA